AGAGUUUGAUCCUGGCUCAGGAUGAACGCUGGCGGCGUGCCUAACACAUGCAAGUCGAACGGAAUUUACAUGAAGCCUAGCGAUUGUAAAUUUAGUGGCGGACGGGUGAGUAACGCGUGGGUAACCUGCCUUGUACUGGGGGACAACAGUUGGAAACGACUGCUAAUACCGCAUAAGCGCACAGCUUCGCAUGAAGCAGUGUGAAAAACUCCGGUGGUACAAGAUGGACCCGCGUCUGAUUAGCUGGUUGGUGAGGUAACGGCCCACCAAGGCGACGAUCAGUAGCCGGCCUGAGAGGGUGAACGGCCACAUUGGGACUGAGACACGGCCCAGACUCCUACGGGAGGCAGCAGUGGGGAAUAUUGCACAAUGGGGGAAACCCUGAUGUAGCGACGCCGCGUGGAGGAAGAAGGUCUUCGGAUUGUAAACUCCUGUUGUUGAGGAAGAUAAUGACGGUACUCAACAAGGAAGUGACGGCUAACUACGUGCCAGCAGCCGCGGUAAAACGUAGGUCACAAGCGUUGUCCGGAAUUACUGGGUGUAAAGGGAGCGCAGGCGGGAAGACAAGUUGGAAGUGAAAUCCAUGGGCUCAACCCAUGAACUGCUUUCAAAACUGUUUUUCUUGAGUAGUGCAGAGGUAGGCGGAAUUCCCGGUGUAGCGGUGGAAUGCGUAGAUAUCGGGAGGAACACCAGUGGCGAAGGCGGCCCACUGGGCACCAACUGACGCUGAGGCUCGAAAGUGUGGGUAGCAAACAGGAUUAGAUACCCUGGUAGUCCACACUGUAAACGAUGAUUACUAGGUGUUGGAGGAUUGACCCCUUCAGUGCCGCAGUUAACACAAUAAGUAAUCCACCUGGGGAGUACGACCGCAAGGUUGAAACUCAAAGGAAUUGACGGGGGCCCGCACAAGCAGUGGAGUAUGUGGUUUAAUUCGACGCAACGCGAAGAACCUUACCAAGUCUUGACAUCCUGCGACGGUUCUGGAAACAGAACUUUCCUUCGGGACGCAGAGACAGGUGGUGCAUGGUUGUCGUCAGCUCGUGUCGUGAGAUGUUGGGUUAAGUCCCGCAACGAGCGCAACCCCUAUUUCCAGUAGCCAGCAGUCAGAUGGGCACUCUGGAGAGACUGCCGGGGAUAACCCGGAGGAAGGUGGGGAUGACGUCAAAUCAUCAUGCCCCUUAUGAUUUGGGCUACACACGUGCUACAAUGGCAGUUACAAAGAGAAGCGAAACUGUGAAGUGGAGCAAACCUCAAAAAGGCUGUCUCAGUUCGGAUUGUAGUCUGCAACUCGACUACAUGAAGCUGGAAUCGCUAGUAAUCGCAGAUCAGAAUGCUGCGGUGAAUACGUUCCCGGGUCUUGUACACACCGCCCGUCA
rnacentral:rRNA from 1 species